GAUGAACGCUGACAGAAUGCUUAACACAUGCAAGUCGAUGGGGAAGUGGUGCUUGCACCAUGGUAACCAUGGCGGACGGGUGAGUAACGCGUAAGGAACUUGCCUGCGGGACUGGGAUAACAGCAGGAAACUGCUGAUAAUACCGGAUAAGGUCAUUAAGCUGCAUAGCUUAGUGAUGAAAGGAGACGCCUGCGGAGAGCCUUGCGUCCUAUUAGCUAGUUGGAGGGGUAACGGCCCACCAAGGCGAAGAUAGGUAGCCGGCCUGAGAGGGUGGACGGCCACAAGGGGACUGAGAUACGGCCCUUACUCCUACGGGAGGCCGCAGUGGGGAAUAUUGGACAAUGGGGGCAACCCUGAUCCGGCAAUUCUGUGUGCACGAAGACGGUUUUCGGAUUGUAAAGUGCUUUCAGCAGGGAAGAAGGAAGUGACGGUACCUGCAGAAGAAGCGACGGCUAAAUACGUG
rnacentral:rRNA from 1 species